rnacentral:snRNA from 1 species
AUCGCUUCUCGGCCUUUUGGCUAAGAUCAAGUGUAGUAUCUGUUCUUAUCAUCUCAUUUAACAUCUCAUUUGCUAAGGCGUAUGGUUCAGGAUUUUAGGCUGACUGACUGUUAUAAAACUGUACAUUUGAUCAAUGAUGGGUUUACUUGGUCCAAUUGGGACAACUCUGUCGCAUCACGCAUAGAUCAUGUGUUCACUAGAGACUGUCCCCCCAUA